GUGGCACAGCGCAUGAGUUGCUGUCUAACAGCGCCAGAUAUCCGGAUUCGACCCUGACUACGGGUGCUGUCUGAAUGGAGCUUGUACGUUCUCCCUGUAACCAUGUAUGUUUUCUCUGGGUGCUCUGG